GGGGUGCGGUCCAGGCGGAGGCGGGUCCCGGCGGCUCCUCACGGAGACACUCGCUCUGAGCCAAUCAGCGGGACCCGGGGGGGCGGGCGCAAGUUUGAAAGGGUGACAGCCGCCGAGGGAGAAGCGGAAGUCGAGGAGGUGCAGAGGAGGAGAGGGGUCCCACAUGAAGCUGGUUAAUGGAGGAGAAGGUCAGAGGUCAGCAGCAGAGCAGACCCUGCGGACCCGAUUAGGCCUGAGCCUGACACUCUGGCACCGUGGACUCUGGCCUGAGAACGGUUGAACAGUUCCCAUCAUCGAAGCAGGUCGGACAAGGUUCAUGACGAGACACGUCAACAUUACCUGGGAACCGCUGCAGGUGAUGAUGUAAUUAUGGGAGAAACACUUGUUCAGCCUAACAAAUCAACCUUGACAUUUGUUUUCCUUGGCUCUUACUCAUCCUUAUCACGUGGAAGCGAAGGAGAAGAUGAAAAGAUAAACAAUGGAGGAGAACUCAAGGGAAAAGCAAGAGAAGUCUGUAAAAAACAAACUGUUAAGUGGAAGUAAAAAGACGGAAUCGUAGGACAGCAGUGUGAGAAGAGGACCGGUAGUGCUGGGUGUGGAGAUGAUCUGAGGUGCCACUGCCAAAAUCCUUGCAGAAGAAUGGAAUCAUACAAUGAGAACCUGUUUACUUCAAAUACCCCUCUGGGAUUGAUCUGAAACCCGGUUUGUGCAGUGGAGCUGGAGGCACGGGGCCAAUUCACAUGCCACAACCAGCAGGGAGACAUUAGCAAUGGAAAAUAAAAAGUUUUGCACUUUCUCAAAAUGAAACAUAUUUGAAAAUUAAGCAGCUUUGAUCAGCACAAGCUGAGGCCAGAAGAUAACUUGAAACAGCGAUUCCUUACGAGAGCUUAUGGUGCGUCAAAGGGUCUUUCUGCAGCCUCCGUGGGAAAGAUUAUGGGAAGAUAUAAUAUGAUUUGAUUGAAAGAUAAAGAUCCACACGUCAGGUCAUCUGUAGCACCAGUGGGUUGCCAAUUAGAAAGUGUGAAAACUAAACAUCUUAUGGAUAAUUGGUGAUAUUUAAUGUAGCUAAAGUAAAUAAACAGUUGAAAUAGCUAAAAGUAAUAGAGUGCGCUAAUUGAAUUCGAUGAAUUAGGUGAAAACAACACGUUACAUGAUGGAUGGCGUUCAUGAACAGAUGCGUCUGCUGGGAUAACGGGUUCAGAGGAAGGAAGUGGAAAGGGAAGUGAAUAAUCGUGACGUCUCUCUGCUUCAUCUUCCUCUCUUUACCUGGAGGCUGAAGCCAGACAAGAGGCCGGAAUAUGAAACAGACGAACCUGUAACCUGAGCUUAUGAAAAUACGGCCUCCAUCGGUGACGUCCACAUCACACAGAACAACGCUCACGGUAUAAUGGAGCCUCGGUUGUGGCUGGCGUCCAUUCAUAAACGUAGGAAAAUCACAUUUUCUGUGACAACGUGUGAUUUACGCUCGCUAUGUGUGUCGCUAUGAAAGGAAUGUGUGCAUGUGUGCGCCUAUAGGUUUAGCAGCUGGGCAUCACAUGUCUGCAUGUAAGGCAAAACAUUUGACGUUCGACAUGCCCGCCUGGAAAAAUCAAUAAAUCUCACACACACACACACACACACACUCUCGGCCCCCGGGACGGAUGGGAAAUUUCUGAAAUUUCAG